CAGGAUUCCCCUAGUAACUGCGAGUGAAGCGGGAAAAGCUCAAAUUUAAAAUCUGGCGGUCUUUGGCUGUCCGAGUUGUAAUCUAGAGAAGUGUCAUCCGCGCUGGACCGUGUACAAGUCUCCUGGAAUGGAGCGUCAUAGAGGGUGAGAAUCCCGUCUUUGACACGGACUGCCAGGGCUUUUGUGAUGUGCUCUCAAAGAGUCGAGUUGUUUGGGAAUGCAGCUCAAAAUGGGUGGUAAAUUCCAUCUAAAGCUAAAUAUUGGCGAGAGACCGAUAGCGAACAAGUACCGUGAGGGAAAGAUGAAAAGAACUUUGGAAAGAGAGUUAAACAGUACGUGAAAUUGCUGAAAGGGAAACGCUUGAAGUCAGUCGCGUUGUCCAGGGAUCAACCUUGCUUUUGCUUGGUGUACUUUCUGGUUGACGGGUCAGCAUCAAUUUUGACUAUUGGAAAAAGGUCAGGGGAAUGUGGCAUCUUUAGAUGUGUUAUAGCCCUUGGUUGCAUACAAUGGUUGGGAUUGAGGAACUCAGCACGCCGCAAGGCCGGGUUUUUUUUUAACCACGUACGUGCUUAGGAUGCUGGCAUAAUGGCUUUAAUCGACCCGUCUUGAAACACGGACCAAGGAGUCUAACAUGCCUGCGAGUGUUUGGGUGGAAAACCCGAGCGCGCAAUGAAAGUGAAAGUUGAGAUCCUCGUCGUGGGGAGCAUCGACGCCCGGACCUGACCUUUUGUGACGGUUCCGCGGUAGAGCAUGUAUGUUGGGACCCGAAAGAUGGUGAACUAUGCCUGAAUAGGGUGAAGCCAGAGGAAACUCUGGUGGAGGCUCGUAGCGAUUCUGACGUGCAAAUCGAUCGUCAAAUUUGGGUAUAGGG
rnacentral:rRNA from 2 species